GGAACUUUGGUCAGAUUCUAUGUGAAAAUGAUGAAUUGUCGAGAAACCUAUGGAUUGCUAAUACCCAAUGGUUUGCUAAUCCAUUGGGGUUUCCCUGUGUGAGUUCGAAUCUCACAGGUGUCGCCA
rnacentral:tRNA from 1 species